rnacentral:rRNA from 1 species
CAGUAGCCGCGGGAAUACAGAGGGUGCAAGCGUUAAUCGGAAUUACUGGGCGUAAAGCGUGCGCAGGCGGUUAUAUAAGACAGAUGUGAAAUCCCCGGGCUCAACCUGGGAACUGCAUUUGUGACUGUAUAGCUAGAGUACGGCAGAGGGGGAUGGAAUUCCGCGUGUAGCAGUGAAAUGCGUAGAUAUGCGGAGGAACACCGAUGGCGAAGGCAAUCCCCUGGGCCUGUACUGACGCUCAUGCACGAAAGCGUGGGGAGCAAACAGGAUUAGAUACCCCUGUAGUCCCUGUCUCUUAUAC